ACUCCGUACGGGAGGCAGCAGUGGGGAAUAUUGCACAAUGGGGGAAACCCUGAUGCAGCCAUGCCGCGUGUGUGAAGAAGGCCUUCGGGUUGUAAAGCACUUUCAGUAGGGAGGAAGGUAGUGUAGUUAACACCUGCACUAUUUGACGUUACCUACAGAAGAAGCACCGGCUAACUCCGUGCCAGCAGCCGCGGUAAUACGGAGGGUGCGAGCGUUAAUCGGAAUUACUGGGCGUAAAGCGCAUGCAGGCGGCCUGUUAAGUCAGAUGUGAAAGCCCGGGGCUUAACCUCGGAAUUGCAUUUGAAACUGGCAGGCUAGAGUCUUGUAGAGGGGGGUAGAAUUU
rnacentral:rRNA from 1 species